GUAGCGACGCCAGCGGCAGUAUUAUGAAGUACGGGGUGGACGGUGUGUCGCUGGCGUCGCUUGUCGCUUGUUUUUGAGGCCAGUCGCCAUUUUGGAAGUUGCGUUAACUCUGUAUCAGUCCGCGGCCGUGCCGUGAUCGAGGAUUAAGGGGCCUGCGAGGCGGCCGGCAACCACCAGACGGCCACCGAUGGCCGUGGCCGGCCAUGGACGGCGUGUAGGACAAGUCGGAGGGCCCCGCUCAGCCAGAUUUUGAUUCCCAGGGUGCGAGGCUGAAUUCUCCGAAGUGCAUCGUAAGGCUGACUUGCAAGGACAUCCGCAAAUUACAGCAGCAGCUGCCUCCGCCAGCAGCACAGGUCCAACCUCCGACCCAGGCUGACCCGCGGCCACAUAGUGGGUGCAGCUGCAAGCCAAUCGCCAUUUUAGUAGCACAGUGAGGCGGUCUGCGGCUGUGAUUGAGAGGCCUGCUGAGCCUGCGGCCACCAAGGAACACGGCAACCGGCCAUACCUUUGAGAUUUGCCCCCAUAGUGCCAGUUCGCCGCGGUAAGGUAUUCAGGCAGCGACUCGCGCUUUGGGUUUUCCGAUGCAGCAGUGGCUGCCGAAACUGAAGGGCGAGCAUCGGCAGGACGGUUACAAGGUGCGCAGCUCAAGCAGAAAUGGAAGCUUGGCCUGCAGUUCGACGUGGCCAUGCUCAUCUCCGAGGGCGUCAUCCUCAAGACCAGAAAGACGCAGCUCUACGACCUGAGACAGUCUACACGCCUCCCAGGACAAGCUCGUCACUGUCAAGACUGCCAGGCCGCAUGGCAACGCCCACAUGAACGAGCUGCAGUAGCCUUACCUCGAGUAACACGUAUCGAUAACUUUUUAUUAACGAUUUUGAUAAAAUGGUUUAAAUUUAUUUUAAAUUAGCGGUAGUUUGUGACAGUUGCUGUUAAGCAUUAAAAAAUUUAUUGAAAAAUCUCGGACCUAU